rnacentral:lncRNA from 1 species
AGUUUUUCUUUUAAAAACUUAUCCCCGCUGUUAUAUGGUAUCAGAGCCACACGGUUGGUUCUUGAUGUUGUUCGGCGAUUUCGAUUAAAAACAGUUUGAUUUGUGGGCUUAAAUGUUUCUUCAAACUUUCAGUUUUUCUUGCUCUGCUUUUACAAGUCCCGACCUUCGCUGUAAAACACCCAAGAUCGCCUUAAGUCCCGAUUAGUUCCUGUUUGUAAGUCUCCAGGGUGGGAGCAGUGAAUGGCCAAAGGGAAUCUUUAGAUCUACGGGUAUGAGUUUAAGGCAAGUAAGGCUUUCUAAGUAGACCUUCAAGAAAAAGAAUUUUUGUUUAAACAGUUAACAAAUUAGUCUUCUGUUUUAGAUCGAUUUCACUGAUAGAUCAGGACCAAUCGAGUGAUCCUUUGUUUCAGAUUUCAGUCUGAUUUGUUUUUAAACAAAAAUUUUUACAAAAUCUUAGAAAUUUUGAAGAUUUUGA